rnacentral:SRP_RNA from 1 species
GCUGGGUGUCGUGGUACGCGCCUGUAAUCCCAGUUACCAGGGAGGCUGAGGCAGGAGAAUCGCUUGAACCCAGGAGACUGAGGUUGCAGUGAGCCAAUAUCGCACCACUGCACUCCAGCCUGGGUGACACAGCGAGACUCUGUCUCAA